AUUGCAUUUCUUACAGGCAGGUGGUGGAUGCCUAGGGAUGUGAAGGCGAUGAAGGACGUGGCGUGCCUGCGAUAAACUUCGGGGAGGUGGCUAGCAACCUUUGAUCCGGAGGUUUCCGAAUGGGGCAACCUAACACUGCGAAAACAGUGUUGCGUACCGCUGAGCGGUACGGGCGAACCCGCUGAAGUGAAACAUCUCAGUAAGCGGAGGAAAAGAUAAUGAAUUUUAUUCCCUUAGUAGCGGCGAGCGAAAAGGGAAGAGCCCAAACCAUUUCUGCGUGCAGAAAUGGGGUUGUAAGGUAGUAACGCACCGCAAGGUGGGAAGUCAAAAAAUCAAAGCUUCCGUAGUGGAACGUUCCUGGAAAGGACGGCCAAAGAAGGUGAUAGCCCUGUACGCGAAACGGGUUUUGAUACUUCUCGUUAUUAUUCUUGAGUACCUCGAGACACGAAAAUCUCGUGGGAAGCAGGCCAAACUAUUUGGCCAAGGCUAAAUACUUCACAUCACCGAUAGUGAACCAGUACCGUGAGGGAAAGGUGAAAAGCAGCCCGAUGAGGGCGGUGAAAUAGAAUCUGAAACCAUCUUGCCUACAAUGAAUCGAAGCCUCGCAAGAGGUGACGGUGUGCUUUUUGCAGAACGAGCCAACGAGUUUGAGUACAUAGCUUGUCUAAGUCCUUACGGGACGGAGGCACAGCGAAAGCGAGUGCGAAUAGCGCGUAGACCUUUUAGUACUCUCGCUCAUUGUAUUCCAUCGUUUGAGCGGCGCGUAUUUUGAGACAGAUUCGCGACGCGAGGAACGAAGUGUGCCGACUGGCACACGAGAGAUGAGCAACAAAGAAGAUGGCCAAAUACGCGCCGCCCCUCCGGGGAAGCGCGCUGCCGGCCAAUCGCUUCGUUGCUCCUUCUCAACGUACCAUAGGUACAGUUUCGUCGUCGCGCCUUGCGUUUGUCUCGGUAGUGCGCUUCUCAAAUCGAUGUAAUUCAGUGAGCGAGAGUACAAGGUCAAGCUUUGUGCUCAAGACCCGAAGCCAGACGAGCUUGCCAUGACCAGGGUGAACCCCGCAGAAAUGCGGGGGGAGGCCCGAACCCGUGAGUCGUGCAAUACUUUGGGAUGAGUUGUGGCAAGGAGUGAAAAGCUAAUCGAGUCUGGUAAUAGCUGGUUCUCCCCGAAAUAGCUCUAGGGCUAGCGUCUAUCGCAGGAUUCGGAGGUAGAGCUCUGGAAGGGACAGUGCGGGAGCAAUCCUAACUGUUCCUACCAAACUGCGAAUGCCGAAUCUGUCGGAUAGGCAGUCAGAACAUGGGGGCUAAGCUCCAUGCUCAAGAGGGAAACAGCCCGGAUCUUCAUCUAAGGUCCCU
rnacentral:rRNA from 1 species